UGUAUUAUCAUCGAAACUGUGCCGAAGUAUGCUUUUGAAGUCAGAAAGUGUAAUUUAGAAAUACGCUUCCACUAAUCCCAGUCAACAGGCGGACUGGUCAAUGCCGACUGGCUGACACGGGGGGGGCACGUGGCUCCUCUCUCUCUCUCCUCCCUGGCCAUCGUUUUCCUCGCGACCAAAGGGAAGAGGCAGAGGGGGCCUUGGGUCGCGCCUUGGUCCUCGCCCUAC
rnacentral:lncRNA from 1 species